CUGUUUGUUUUUCUUCGUUCUUUUCUUUUUUUUUCCUUCUUGUUCUUGUUGGUUCUUGUUCUUGUUCUUAUUCUUGUUGUUAUUGUUUAGGAAAAGGAGCAAAUGACGACGGAAAUCAAGAAUGCUGCCGAUGCA
rnacentral:ribozyme from 1 species